CGGAUAUUACAUCCGGAUGUUUUUUUUCUCUUGCCGAAACGACACCGUUUAUUUCUUACAUUUAAUUCCUCUCAAGCUCUCAAGCCGAACGAAUCCUCUCUUCAGCUCUCUGUCUCGUCUCGUCUCUCAAGUUCUCAUCCAAAACCCUAGCCGUGCCGAUUGCGAAUCUGUUUAUCUCUGUCUCUGUCUGUAUGCUAAUCGAAACCGACGGACUCACAGACCUUAUUAUACUUUAAUUUAGAAAAUGAACUGUCAGCCAUAGCAAUAGAGAGAAGACUUCUGAGAUGCUGGCAUUUUGGUCAAUUUGUUAUGAGCUGAACUUAAGGAGUAUGAUUCUCUACAUUGGACUUCCUCUCUAGACUUGCCUAUAAAGUGAAGAAGACUUUAAGAAACCAUAAAUGCCACUGGUUUCCUCAAUUCCAUAUUCAACUUUCAAGAUGUGAAGAGCAUUGUAUUUUUUUUUUUUU